rnacentral:rRNA from 1 species
CGCGCAGCUACCAUGCAGUCGACGGAUCCUUCGGGAUUAGUGGCAGACGGGUGAGUAACGCGUGGGAAGCUACCUUGUGGUAGGGAACAACAGUUGGAAACGACUGCUAAUACCCUAUGAGCCCUAUGGGGGAAAGAUUUAUCGCCAUGAGAUGUGCCCGCGUUAGAUUAGCUAGUUGGUAAGGUAAUGGCUUACCAAGGCGACGAUCUAUAGCUGGUCUGAGAGGAUGAUCAGCCACACUGGGACUGAGACACGGCCCAGACUCCUACGGGAGGCAGCAGUGGGGAAUAUUGGACAAUGGGGGCAACCCUGAUCCAGCCAUGCCGCGUGUGUGAUGACGGCCUUAGGGUUGUAAAGCACUUUCAGCAGUGAAGAUAAUGACAUUAACUGCAGAAGAAGCCCCGGCUAACUUCGUGCCAGCAGCCGCGGUAAUACGAAGGGGGCUAGCGUUGUUCGGAAUCACUGGGCGUAAAGCGUACGUAGGCGGACUGAUCAGUCAGGGGUGAAAUCCCGGGGCUCAACCCCGGAACUGCCUUUGAUACUGUCAGUCUUGAGAUCGAGAGAGGUGAGUGGAACUCCGAGUGUAGAGGUGAAAUUCGUAGAUAUUCGGAAGAACACCAGUGGCGAAGGCGGCUCACUGGCUCGAUACUGACGCUGAAGGUACGAAAGCGUGGGGAGCAAACAGGAUUAGAUACCCUGGUAGUCCACGCCGUAAACGAUGAUGCUAGUUGUCAGGUAGCUUGCUUAUUUGGUGACGCAGCUACGCAUAGCAUUCGGCUGGGGGAGUACGUCGCUAGAUAAACUCAAGGAUGACGGGGACCGCCAGCGGUGGGAGCAUGGGCUAUCCAGCAACGCCGAAACUACAGCCUGACAUUGGCGCUACACGGAAC